rnacentral:rRNA from 1 species
UACGUAGGGUGCAAGCGUUGUCCGGAAUUAUUGGGCGUAAAGAGCUCGUAGGCGGUUUGUCGCGUCUGCUGUGAAAACUCGGGGCUUAACCCCGGGCCUGCAGUGGGUACGGGCAGACUAGAGUGCGGUAGGGGAGACUGGAAUUCCUGGUGUAGCGGUGAAAUGCGCAGAUAUCAGGAGGAACACCGGUGGCGAAGGCGGGUCUCUGGGCCUGACCUGACGCUGAGGAGCGAAAGCGUGGGGAGCGAACAGG